CCUACGGGUGGCAGCAGUCGAGAAUCAUUCACAAUGGGGGAAACCCUGAUGGUGCGACGCCGCGUGGGGGAAUGAAGGUCAUCGGAUUGUAAACCCCUGUCAUGAGGGAGCAAAUUAUAAAGAUCGUCCCACAAGAGGAAGAGACGGCUAACUCUGUGCCAGCAGCCACGGGAAUACAGCGGUCUCAAGCGUUGUUCGGAAUCACUGGGCGUAAAGCGUGCGUCGGCUGUUUCGGAAGUCGGGUGUGAAAGGCGCGGGCUCAACCCGCGGACGGCACCUAAUACUGCGAGACUAGAGUAAUGGAGGGGGAACCGGAAUUCUCGGUGUAGCAGUGAAAUGCGUAGAUAUCGAGAGGAACACUCGUGGCGAAGGCGGGUUCCUGGACAUUAACUGACGCUGAGGCACGAAGGCCAGGGGAGCGAAAGGGAUUAGAUACCCUAGUAGUC
rnacentral:rRNA from 1 species